rnacentral:rRNA from 1 species
UACGUAGGGUGCGAGCGUUACUCGGAAUUACUGGGCGUAAAGCGUGCGCAGGCGGUUUUGUAAGUCUGACGUGAAAUCCCCGGGCUUAACCUGGGAAUUGCGUUGGAGACUGCAAGGCUGGAGUCUGGCAGAGGGGGGUGGAAUUCCACGUGUAGCAGUGAAAUGCGUAGAGAUGUGGAGGAACACCGAUGGCGAAGGCAGCCCCCUGGGUUAACACUGACGCUCAGGCACGAAAGCGUGGGGAGCAAACAGG